rnacentral:rRNA from 1 species
UACGUAGGGCGCAAGCGUUGUCCGGAAUUAUUGGGCGUAAAGAGCUCGUAGGUGGUUUGUCGCGUCUGCCGUGAAAGCCCGGGGCUUAACUCCGGGUCUGCGGUGGAUACGGGCAGACUAGAGGCAGGUAGGGGAGAACGGAAUUCCCGGUGUAGCGGUGAAAUGCGCAGAUAUCAGGAGGAACACCGAUGGCGAAGGCAGCUCGCUGGGACGGUACUGACGCUGAGACGCGAAAGCGUGGGGAGCAAACAGG